ACGCUCGACACCUACGGAGGCAGCAGUGGGGAAUAUUGCACAAUGGGGGAAACCCUGAUGCAGCGACGCCGCGUGAGCGAAGAAGUAUUUCGGUAUGUAAAGCUCUAUCAGCAGGGAAGAAAAUGACGGUACCUGACUAAGAAGCCCCGGCUAACUACGUGCCAGCAGCCGCGGUAAUCUGAGCGGCUGGCAAGGC
rnacentral:rRNA from 1 species